rnacentral:rRNA from 1 species
CAGCCGCCGCGGUAAUACGGAGGGUGCAAGCGUUAUCCGGAUUCACUGGGUUUAAAGGGUGCGUAGGCGGAUAGGUAAGUCAGGGAGUGAAAUCCUGGAGCUUAACUCCAGAACUGCCUUUGAUACUAUCUAUCUUGAAUAUGGUGGAGGUAAGCGGAAUAUGUCAUGUAGCGGUGAAAUGCAUAGAUAUGACAUAGAACACCUAUUGCGAAGGCAGCUUACUACGCCUAUAUUGACGCAGAGGCACGAAAGCGUGGGGAUCAAACAGGAUUAGAUACCCUGGUAGUCCACGCCCUAAACGAUGAUUACUCGACGUAUGCGAUACACAGUAUGCGUCUGAGCGAAAGCAUUAAGUAAUCCACCUGGGAAGUACGACCGCAAGGUUGAAACUUAAAGGAAUUGGCGG